rnacentral:lncRNA from 12 species
UUCUUCUUCUUCUUCUUCACUUUUUCUUCUUCUUGUAUUCUUCUUCUGCUGCUGCCUUUUCUUCUCCCUUUGCUUAUGCUUCUUCAUGAUUCUUUUGGAAUUGAGCACAGCCCAGUAAAAGGCAAAAGACCAAGCUUGGAGUGUGUCUGAGUUUCCUGCAGCAUCAGGAGAGGGAGAGACAGACACCAUGAUUCCUACCAAGAUGGUACUGCUCUUGCUGUCAAUGGGUUUGCUGGCCUUGGGCUCUGCUCAGGGCAUCAGUGACGAUGAUGAAUUCUUGAAAGAAACCCCAGAGGAAUCACAAGUGAAAUCUCAAGAAGAAAAUGGAGUUGAGAACAGCAAGCCAGACAAAGAUGGUCCAGGUGGCCCACAGAGACCAGCAGGCCAACAAGUUCCAGGUAGUCAACAGCAACCAGGAGCCCAAAGUGGUCCAGGUGGCCCACAGGGUCCAGCAGGCCAACAAGGCCCAGGUGGCCAACAGCGUCCAGGAGCCCAAGGUGGUCCAGGUGGCCCACAGCGUCCAGCAGGCCAACAGGACCCAGGUGGCCAACAGCGUCCAGGAGCCCAAGGUGGUCCAGGUGGUCCACAGCGUCCAGCAGGCCAACAGCGUCCAGGAGCCCAAGGUGGUCCAGGUGGCCCUCAAAGUCCAGCAGGCCAACAGGGCCCAGGUGGCCAACAGCGUCCAGGAGCCCAUGGUGGUCCAGUUGGCCCACAGCGUCCAGCAGGCCAACAGGGUCCAGGUGGCCAACAGCGUCCAGGAGCCCAAGGUGGUCCAGGUGGCCCACAGGGUUCAGUGGGCCAACAGGGUCCAGGAGGUCAACAGGGUCCAGGAGCCCAAGGUGGUCCAGGUGGCCCACAGGGUCCAGCGGGCCAACAGGGUCCAGGUGGCCAACAGCGUCCAGGAGCCCAAGGUGGUCCAAGUGGCCCACAGGGUCCAGCAGGCCAACAGGGUCCAGGUGGCCAGCAGCAUCCAGGAGCCCAGGGAGUUCCAGGUGGCCCACAGGGUUUGGCAGGGCAACAUGGCCCAAGUGGCCAACAGGGCUCAGGUGGUCAAGGUAGUCCGGGUGGCCAGCGUGAUCAGCGUGGUGGCCAGUAACAAGGAAAACCAAGUAAAGAGGACCUCCUGUGAUUUCCUAGAAAUUGAGAGAGAUCAACUGGUGACCAUGGAUUUUUCAGUCGUGUCCACGUGGCCUUCCUUCCUCUGACUUCAAAUUAUCAAUAAAGUCAUCAGCAUUAAAGCCCUGGCUCUUAUU